rnacentral:rRNA from 1 species
AGCGAACGCUGGCGGCAGGCUUAGCACAUGCAAGUCGAACGGUCCUUCGGGAUAGUGGCGGACGGGUGAGUAACACGUGGGAACGUACCCUUAGGUUCGGAACAACACAGGGAAACUUGUGCUAAUACCGGAUAAGCCCUUCGGGGGAAAGAUUUAUCGCCUUUGGAGCGGCCCGCGUCUGAUUAGCUUGUUGGUGAGGUAAUGGCUCACCAAGGCUACGAUCAGUAGCUGGUCUGAGAGAUGGCCAGGCACACUGGGACUGAGACACGGCCCAGACUCCUACGGGAGGCAGCAGUGGGGAAUCUUGCGCAAUGGGCGAAAGCCUGACGCAGCCAUGCCGCGUGGAUGAUGAAGGUCUUAGGAUUGUAAAAUCCUUUCACCGGGGACGAUAAUGACGGUACCCGGAGAAGAAGCCCCGGCUAACUUCGUGCCAGCAGCCGCCGUAA